rnacentral:tRNA from 1 species
GGGCAUGUAGCUCAGCGGUAGAGCGCUCGCUUAGCAUUUACCAAAAGCUGCGAGAGGUCUUGGUUUCAAUUACCAACCUGUCCA